GGAUUGUGGCUCAGUGGUAGAGCGCUGUCUUGCAUGUGCGAGGCACUGGGUUCAAUUCUCAGCACCA
rnacentral:tRNA from 1 species